rnacentral:rRNA from 1 species
UACGUAGGGUGCGAGCGUUAAUCGGAAUUACUGGGCGUAAAGCGUGCGCAGGCGGUUUUGUAAGCCAGAUGUGAAAUCCCCGGGCUUAACCUGGGAAUGGCAUUUGGGACUGCAAGGCUCGAGUGCGGCAGAGGAGACUGGAAUUCCUGGUGUAGCAGUGAAAUGCGUAGAUAUCAGGAGGACACCGAUGGCGAAGGCAGGUCUCUGGGCUGACACUGACGCUCAUGCACGAAAGCGUGGGGAGC